rnacentral:rRNA from 1 species
CCCUUAGAUGUUCUGGGCCGCACGCGCGCUACACUGACGAUGGCAACGAGUUUUUCCUUCGCCGAAAGGUGUGGGUAAUCUUUUGAAACAUCGUCGUGCUGGGGAUAGAUCAUUGCAAUUUUUGAUCUUGAACGAGGAAUUCCUAGUAAGCGCGAGUCAUCAGCUCGCGUUGAUUACGUCCCUGCCCUUUGUACACACCGCCCGUCGCUACUACCGAUUGAAUGGUUUAGUGAGGACUCCUGAUUGGCGCCGCCGCCCCGGCAACGGAGCAGCGGACUGCCGAAAAGUUGUUCAAACUUGAUCAUUUAGAGGAAGUAAACGUCGUAACA